UGCAGUCGACGAGCUUCCGUUGAAUGACGUGCUUGCACUGAUUUCAACAAUGAAGCGAGUGGCGAACUGGUGAGUAACACGUGGGGAAUCUGCCCAGAAGCAGGGGAUAACACUUGGAAACAGGUGCUAAUACCGUAUAACAACAAAAUCCGCAUGGAUUUUGUUUGAAAGGUGGCUUCGGCUAUCACUUCUGGAUGAUCCCGCGGCGUAUUAGUUAGUUGGUGAGGUAAAGGCCCACCAAGACGAUGAUACGUAGCCGACCUGAGAGGGUAAUCGGCCACAUUGGGACUGAGACACGGCCCAAACUCCUACGGGAGGCAGCAGUAGGGAAUCUUCCACAAUGGACGAAAGUCUGAUGGAGCAAUGCCGCGUGAGUGAAGAAGGGUUUCGGCUCGUAAAACUCUGUUGUUAAAGAAGAACACCUUUGAGAGUAACUGUUCAAGGGUUGACGGUAUUUAACCAGAAAGCCACGGCUAACUACGUGCCAGCAGCCGCGGUAAUACGUAGGUGGCAAGCGUUGUCCGGAUUUAUUGGGCGUAAAGCGAGCGCAGGCGGUUUUUUAAGUCUGAUGUGAAAGCCUUCGGCUUAACCGGAGAAGUGCAUCGGAAACUGGGAGACUUGAGUGCAGAAGAGGACAGUGGAACUCCAUGUGUAGCGGUGGAAUGCGUAGAUAUAUGGAAGAACACCAGUGGCGAAAGCGGCUGUCUAGUCUGUAACUGACGCUGAGGCUCGAAAGCAUGGGUAGCGAACAGGAUUAGAUACCCUGGUAGUCCAUGCCGUAACGAUGAGUGCUAAGUGUUGGAGGGUUUCCGCCCUUCAGUGCUGCAGCUAACGCAUAAGCACUCGCUGGGGAGUACGA
rnacentral:rRNA from 2 species